UACGGAGGGUGCAAGCGUUAUCCGGAUUCACUGGGUUUAAAGGGUGCGUAGGCGGGUUGGUAAGUCAGUGGUGAAAUCCCCGAGCUUAACUUGGGAACUGCCAUUGAUACUAUCAAUCUUGAAUGUUCUGGAGGUUUGCGGAAUAUGUCAUGUAGCGGUGAAAUGCAUAGAUAUGACAUAGAACACCUAUUGCGAAGGCAGCAGGCUACAGAAAUAUUGACGCUGAGGCACGAAAGCGUGGGGAUCAAACAGG
rnacentral:rRNA from 1 species